CAAAACAUUUUUUAUCCAUUGGAAGUUCUCUGUAUUGAAAUGGCUUACCCCAACAAUAGUUGUUGGCUGGAAAGCAACCAUGCUUUUAAGUAUAUAGUUUCACCAUUCGAUAUCCCUACCUGCAUGAACACACAAUUGACAAUCAAUGUCAUACUUUUAUUAUGAGUACUGAAAAUGAACAUUGUGACAGUAUAAGGUAAUAGGGGCCUAGUAUAAGUACCUGUACACCACACUUCUCCUUUGUCUGUAUGAGCAAAGGCUGUGUUAAUUAAAACGCGCUUCAAAUUAUAACUUCGUCCAUGGCCUAUUAUGCAUUCAGACAUAAUCCGAAUUGUUCAAACUCCCUGCUCAAAUAAUCCAACCUCAAAAUGCAAAGAAUGAUCAAACAUUUACCUGUGCCGAAUCAUCAUCCUCACAUUGGACCACCAGCCCGACAUGGCCGUCGUGAGGCUGGGCGGCAAUCCUGCCGGAUGACCUCGGGGGGCAGCUCUCCUGCCGGAUGACCUCGAGGGGCAGCAAUCCUGCCGGAUGACCUCGAGGAGCAGCUCUCCCCCGCAGAUCCUAUGCUGGGCCGACGAGGGAAGCUCCGGGAUGGCCAGCGUCGAGGGGUGUCGGACCUGGGGAUCAGCUCGAGGAGAAGGCAAGCAGCACUCGCCGAGAAGAAACUAUGCGCCUCGACCAAUGGCGCAGCCCGCAGCUCGUUCGUUCCCCAGGCUAUGGGGACCGGACGCCAGCUCCGCCAUGGGGAUGUCCACCGGCUCCACCCAGGAAGCUCGUACUACGCCGGUUGGGGAGGAAGCCAGAUCGGUGAGGUGGUGGUGCAGGUGGGGAAUUUUGUUUUGGGCAGGUCGAUUUGGGGGAGAUUGGUCAGGGCGGCGGUUAAAUGCUCGCGUUUCCAUUUUUUUCAUUUACUCUGUUUCACUUUUUCAUGUAUACUCUUUCA
rnacentral:lncRNA from 1 species